rnacentral:rRNA from 1 species
UAGAGUUUUGAUCCUGGCUCAGGAUGAACGCUAGCUACAGGCUUAACACAUGCAAGUCGAGGGGCAGCAUGAACUUAGCUUGCUAAGUUUGAUGGCGACCGGCGCACGGGUGAGUAACGCGUAUCCAACCUUCCCAUGGCUGCGGGAUAGCCCGGUGAAAACCGGAUUAAUACCGCAUGGUGUCCCUUGACGGCAUCCGACAGGGACUAAAGUGUUUUCGGCCAUGGAUGGGGAUGCGUCCGAUUAGCUUGUUGGCGGGGUAACGGCCCACCAAGGCGACGAUCGGUAGGGGUUCUGAGAGGAAGGUCCCCCACACUGGAACUGAGACACGGUCCAGACUCCUACGGGAGGCAGCAGUGAGGAAUAUUGGUUAAUGGGCGGAAGCCUGAACCAGCCAAGUAGCGUGCAGGAUGACGGCCCUACGGAUUGUAAACUGCUUUUAUACGGGAAUAACGCGCCUUACGUGUAGGGCCUUGCAUGUACCGUAUGAAUAAGGACCGGCUAAUUCCGUG